UACGGAGGGUGCAAGCGUUGUUCGGAAUCAUUGGGCGUAAAGCGCGUGUAGGCGGCUUGGCAAGUCGGUUGUGAAAGCCCGGGGCCCAACCCCGGAACUGCAUCUGAAACUGCCUGGCUAGAGUCCCGGAGAGGAAGGCAGAAUUCCCGGUGUAGGGGUGAAAUCCGUAGAUAUCGGGAGGAACAUCUGUGGCGAAGGCGGCCAUCUGGACGGAUACUGACGCUGAGACGCGAAAGCGUGGGUAGCAAACAGG
rnacentral:rRNA from 1 species